GCCGCGAUGGCCCAGUGGUUAGAUCAUUGGAUUCCGACUCUCAUGGUCCCGGGUUCAAUUCCCCGUCGCGGCA
rnacentral:tRNA from 1 species